ensembl:lncRNA
GGAGAGCACUGCUGCUCUUUUUAGGGAUUUGUGUGCAUUUUGCUGACUCUGGUGGGUUCAACUUGCCCGUCUGCCACACUCUGCCACACUCUGUAUCCCUCCUCAACAGGAGCAAGCAAGAUGGAAGAGCUCAAGAGAUAAGAACAGGGAGGUCACUCACCAGUUACCGUCACAGGAAAGCCAGAUCUGGCCUCCAAAUCAGGUUAAUUUAUUGCCAGAUAAUUACAGAAUGAGAUAGUGAGAAAUAAAAACAAACUUUAAUAAGAAUGAGAUAGUGAGAAAUAAAAACAAACUUUUUAUUAAAGUUUUCCUCCUGCCCCACUUUUCCAAGGCUCAGCUUUGCUCUUGACUCUUCUCUACCCAACACAGGGACUGCUCCUGAUCUCUCAGAAGCUCCUGAAUCUCUCCUAAGGUCGACCAUAGUGCCUGCAGCAAGAGAGAUGAAGUUUAGAUUCCCUUUGGCAAUGCCAAGGUCCUGAUCUGAGCUGCUCUCACAUAAAGUUUUCCUCCUGCCCCACUUUUCCAAGGCUCAGCUUUGCUCUUGACUCUUCUCUACCCAACACAGGGACUGCUCCUGAUCUCUCAGAAGCUCCUGAAUCUCUCCUAAGGUCGACCAUAGUGCCUGCAGCAAGAGAGAUGAAGUUUAGAUUCCCUUUGGCAAUGCCCAGAGAAGGCCAGGGAUGGUGUUGGCUUGGAAAUGAGGCAGAAAUAUUCCAUUCAGAAAUAUUCAACCUUCAGUUGCAGGGCAGGGUGUUCCCCUGCAUUCCCCUGAAAUCUCUCUAA